UGGGGAAUAUUGCACAAUGGGCGAAAGCCUGAUGCAGCGACGCCGCGUGAGGGAUGACGGCCUUCGGGUUGUAAACCUCUUUCAGCAGGGACGAAGCGCAAGUGACGGUACCUGCAGAAGAAGCACCGGCUAACUACGUGCCAGCAGCCGCGGUAAUACGUAGGGUGCAAGCGUUGUCCGGAAUUACUGGGCGUAAAGAGUUCGUAGGCGGUUUGUCGCGUCGUUUGUGAAAACCAGCAGCUCAACUGCUGGCUUGCAGGCGAUACGGGCAGGAUUGAGUACUGCAGGGGAGGAUGGAAUUCCUGGUGUAGCGGUGAAAUGCGCAGAUAUCAGGAGGAACACCGGUGGCGAAGGCGGGUCUCUGGGCAGUAACUGACGCUGAGGAACGAAAGCGUGGGUAGCGAACAGG
rnacentral:rRNA from 1 species